rnacentral:sRNA from 1 species
GAAGCACCAUAACUAUUAAUACCUGAAGUUUUCCUCCAAUAAUAAUUUAGGCUGUGUCCCUGUUUUUCUCUAAAAUGAAUGUUGCCAUGAACAUCACUGUGCACAUAUAUCUUUGUGAACUUAUAUCUACAUGUGUCUGUAGGACAGAGUUCUAGAGGUGGGAUUUCUGGGCAAAUUAUAUACAUGUUUUAAUUUUUGACAGGUACUGCCAAAUUACCUUCUAAAAAUGCCUUACACACUAGAGUUUUUUUCCCCAUCUUCUCCCCAUACUCUCACCAACACUGAGAUACUCAGUCACUUUAAAUGUUUGCCAAUGGAGAGGCAAUCAUUGAUUGUUGCGACGUCCCCACACAUUUUUAAAGCUCGCAUGGCACACUUGGUCUGUGGUGUAGCUUUCUGGCCCCCUAGUGGCAAGGAGUGAGGGUCACAGUGGGCAGGCAUUCAGUCGUGAUGGGCAGCUGCUUUGGGGACCACAGAAGAUGGUGUGUGGGAAGGGAGGCCUGAGAAGCAUGGAGGUCAUGACACAGGAGUGAGGCCAGGAGGGACCUUACACUGGACAGUUGUCUGUUCAGAGUCCCGGCUGGGGGUUGGCCACACCAUGGGCGCUUGGAGCAGGAGUGCAAGCUGUAGGGUGGGAGAGGACUGUUUUGCAGCCUGAGCUGCAGUGAGGGAGGGGCCUGUCUUGCAGAGAGCCACGCAGAUCAGCAACAUGCCCUUUAUGGACGAGUCCUCUGGGUCUGAUGAUGACUGCAGCUCUCAGGCGAGUUUCCGAAUCUCGGUCCCCUCCUCUGAGUCCAGGAAGACCAGCGGACUAGGCAGCCCCCGGGCCAUCAAGAGAGGCGUCUCCAUGUCCUCACUGAGCUCGGAGGGUGACUACGCCAUCCCCCCGGACGCCUGCUCGCUGGACAGUGACUACUCAGAGCCUGAGCACAAACUGCAGCGCACCUCAUCCUACUCCACCGAUGGGCUGGGCCUGGGCGGGGAGUCACUGGAGAAGUCGGGCUACCUGCUGAAAAUGGGGAGCCGGGUGAAGACGUGGAAGAGGCGCUGGUUUGUCCUGAGACAGGGACAGAUUAUGUACUACAAGUCCCCGAGUGAUGUCAUCCGGAAACCUCAAGGCCAAGUGGAUCUGAACUCCUGCUGCCAAAUUGUUCGAGGGGAGGGUUCACAGACGUUUCAGCUCAUCUCUGAGAAGAAAACCUACUACCUGAUGGCCGAUUCACCCAGCCUGCUGGAGGAGUGGAUCCGAGUACUCCAGAGCCUGCUGAAGGUGCAGGCCACCGGGCCUCCAGCUCUGUCUCGGGGUGGCACCAAGCCCACCGUGAAGGGCUGGCUGACCAAGGUAAAGCAUGGCCACUCCAAGCUGGUCUGGUGCGCUCUUGUUGGGAAAACCUUCUACUACUAUCGGAGCCAUGAGGACAAGCGACCCCUGGGCUGCCUUCCUGUGCAGGAUGCACGCAUAGAGGAAGUAGAUCGAUCCUGUGACUCAGACGAGGACUAUGAGGCUGGUGGAACCAGACGGUUGCUUUCCUCCCACUGCACCCUGGUGAUCCACCCCACAGAGCACAGCCCCACCUACCUCCUCAUUGGCACCAAGCAUGAAAAGGAUACGUGGCUCUACCACCUCACAGUGGCUGCAGGUGGCAGCAGUGCCAGGGUGGGCACUGCCUAUGAGCAGCUCAUUGGAAAACUGAUGGAUGGUGAAGGAGACCCAGAUUCGCCGCUCUGGAGGCACCCCAUGCUGUGCUACAGCAAAGACGGCCUAUACGCCUCCCUCACCACCCUGCCCUCUGAGGCCUUGCAGACGGAGGCCCUCAAGCUCUUCAAGUCCUGCCAGCUCUUCAUCAACGUGCCGGUGGAAGCUGCCUCGGUGGACUACCAUGUGUCCCUGGCCCAGACUGCACUGCAGGUCUGCCUGGUUCACCCCGAGCUGCAGAGUGAGCUCUACUGCCAACUCAUGAAGCAGACCAGCUGCCGCCCACCUCAGAAGUACUCCCUCAUGCAGUGCUGGCAGCUCCUCGCUCUGUGUGCUCCACUUUUCCUGCCUCAGCAUCACUUCCUCUGGUAUGUCAAGCAGCAGCUCCAACGCCAUGCAGAUCCCAGAAGUGAAACUGGCCAGUAUGCCACCUACUGCCAGCGGGCAGUGGAGCGGACCCUGCGGACCGGGGAGCGGGAAGCCAGGCCAUCGCGCAUGGAAGUGGUGUCCAUCCUGCUGCGUAACCCCUUCCACCACUCUUUGCCCUUCAGCAUCCCCGUACACUUUACCAACGGGACUUACCAGGUGGUUGGUUUUGACGGCUCCUCCACGGUUGAUGAGUUCCUCCAGCGGCUGAACCAGGAGAUAGGCAUGAGAAAGCCAUCCCACUCUGGCUUUGCCCUCUUCACGGACGAUCCCUCGGGCAGGGACCUGGAGCACUGCCUGCAGGGAAGUGUCAAGAUCUGCGAUGCCAUCUCCAAGUGGGAACAAGCCAUGAAGGAGCUGCACCCCGGAAAGUCUGAGGGUGGGACACGCGUCGUGAAGCUGAUGUACAAGAACAGGCUGUACUUUCGCAGUCAAGUCAAAGGGGAGACGGACCGAGAACGGCUGCUCCUUGCCUCUCAAACUAGUAGAGAGAUAGUGGCAGGGAGGUUUCCUGUCAACAAGGAAUUGGCUCUUGAGAUGGCUGCCCUGAUGGCCCAGGUAGAAUAUGGGGACUUGGAGAAGCCUGCCCUGCCAGGCCCUGGAGGCACAUCCCCUGCCAAGGCUCAGCAUCUGCUCCAGCAGGUCCUAGACAGGUUCUACCCCAGGCGCUACAGACAUGGGGCCCCCCCUGAACAGCUGAGGCACCUGGCAGAUAUGUUGACCACAAAAUGGGCAACAUUGCAAGGAUGCUCCCCUCCUGAGUGCAUCCGCAUCUACCUGACCGUGGCCAGGAAAUGGCCUUUCUUUGGUGCUAAACUUUUUGCUGCUCAGCCUGCCCAGCUGUCUUCCAAGGAGAACGCUCUGGUGUGGAUUGCUGUGAAUGAGGAUGGUGUCAGCAUCCUGGACCACAACACUAUGCAAGUGCACGUCACUUACCCCUACUCUUCAGUGACAACCUUUGGUGGCUGCAGGGAUGAUUUCAUGCUUGUGAUUAGAUCUAUCCCAGACAAGAGCUCUGGAAAAAGCCACAUUGAGAAGUUGAUCUUCCAGAUGGCUGCUCCCAAGAUUGCAGAAGCUACCUUCAUCAUGGCCAGCUAUAUGAACCAUUGCACUACAACUGUGAACCCACCCACCAACCCACCCGGAGCCUGCCAACUGUGGGAACUGGAUGGACGACAGUUCUUUUCUUCUGUUUCCUGUGCUACCAAGGGGCCAACGUUGCUGUGAAUAUUUCUCCUACCCAAUUCCCCACCACCACUAGUGCCUCUGGAAUUAGAGACAUAUAUCCUAGGGUAUGAUACUACUGUGAUGGGUCUAACAGCCCCCGGCUACUCUUGUUGUGUGAAAUGUGUAUUUUAGCCUCUGUGAAGCCUUUACUCUCUAGGUGCCUUAUGUUUCAGGGCUCAACUUUUUAAAAUCCAGACCCAGUGUUAAAACCACUUAUUCCUUUUUUCACAAGAAUAAUGACUCCAAAUGCUACCUGAUUCUAGACAUAGACAGGGAUGAUCCACUGUUACUGAGGGCAUCAGUGCUAUAAGUUAAGGCUUUCUGCACUGGUACUCUCAAGGAAGCUAAUUUUCUUUCUGGGUCUGCGGGGGACACAGUCUCACUAUGUCACCCAGGCUGGAGUGCACAGGGUUCAAGCAAUUCUCCUGCCUCAGCCUUCCGAGUAGCUGGGAUUACAGGUGUGCGCCACCACGCCUGGCUAAUUUUUGUAUUUUUAGUAGAGAUGGGGUUUCACCAUGUUGGCCAGGCUAGUCUCGAACUCCUGACCUCAGGUGAUCUGCCCACCUUGGCCUCCCAAAGUGCUGGGAUUACAGGCAUGAGCCACCGCCCAGCCCAGAAGCUAAUUUUUUAAUAUUGUAUAUGGUCUUAUUUAUACUUGAAGUUUUGUGAACGUCGCUAAACAGGAUAGGACUAAAAUUUCCAAUUCUCCUACACUCUGUCAGAAGCCUAGAACUCACUAAAUUGGGCUGCCUCUCCCAAAUGGGAAAGGUGCUAGCAGAGUUGGCGAAAAAAGAAUAGACUCACUUUUCCCCAUUAUUGGUAUGUAGGCAUUGGUACAGCCCCUUCUGGGGCAGUCUUUGCAGGGUAACAUGCUAUCCCUGCUAAGAUUCAAGCUGUUUUCCUCACACUGGACUGUAGGCCAAACCCAGUACCACGCAAUGUGCAAGCAAGGGCAGGAGGUAGGUCCAAUCUGACCCUUCCCUGUCUCAUUUUAAUGACUGGACAGCGCUCAGUGAAGGCUGUGUUCACUGUAGUGGGCCAUCAUUUGUUUCCUUGUUCUUGUAAAAGACCAAGCAAAUGCACUCUGCUUUUUGCUGCUGUAAGACCACCAAAAAUGAGUCAGAAACACAGAAGACUAUUUCAGGCAUGUGGGCCUGGAUAUGCUCCUUGAGACUUCUGGCAAACUUCUGCUGGGAAUUAGUUUGAGGGUGAGGGUACAUAUGUGACAUUUGCCCUAGCCUAAGAGUAACAGGUAAAAGAAAGUUUCUUUCAGCUUUUGCCUUACUGAUAAUACCAUAAUCCCCCUCAAUUCAGACCUUCUGAUUGAGUGCAGAGGAGACUAGACAGUCUCCUCUAGACAGGGUGUAGACACACCCUCCCCUAACAAAAACAAAACGAAAGAGUUCAUACUCUGAUUUUCCAACAUCUAAGAAAAUGAGUUUUAUUUCCUAGCUCUAAGGCAGCCUUACUAUGUGUCAGUGAAGUGCUGAAAACUGUAUAUUUAGCAGUAGCACCCAAAACCAAGCCUUUAAACCCCAACAAUGUGUGUAUAUUGUGCACAGCAAAAACUGCGAGGCCAGAACUAAUUUAUCUGAACACCUCAGCUGCUGUAAGCUUCUCUUCUCUCACCCCGUAAACUGACAAGCAUGAUGAAAAAAGAAGCACAUCCAAGUUUCUGCCUCUUUUAAAUGUACUUGACUUUGCAAGGCAAGUAGUUUUACAGCCAUUUCUGUUCACACCUUUCACCCCAGGACUUGGGAAUCUAGCUGAGACAUUUCUACCUCGAACAAGUCACAUGUACCACAGGUUCCUGAAUAAUUCCUGCAAGGCUGGUGACAGACAUAACAGCUCUGGUUUUAUAAUAUCUUGGGUAUCUCUAAGGCCAAUAAGGAUAACAUUAUCUACCCAGAGAGUUUAAAAGAAAAGUAGGAGUCCGAAGGAAGAGUAAACAAGAAUGGAGCUGUAUUCACACUGAAUUUGGGGUCAGUCUAUUUCCCCCACCCUCUCUCCUCCCCUUCAGGAACCCUUUAGUUUAUUAAUUUUAUACAGAAGAAACUGCCUUAGAAACAAAGGAUUCAAUAAUUUGCUUAUUUAUUCUUUGUUAACAUGAGAGUCCCAUGUCUGAAAACCAAAGUUCAAUUUCUGUCUGGCCUUUUGUCUCAUCCCUCUUGGCAAAAGUAGCUUUUGAACUGAUAAAAAAAAAAA